rnacentral:rRNA from 1 species
AGAGUUUGAUCCUGGCUCAGAACGUACGCUGGCGGCACGCCUAACACAUGCAAGUCGAACGAAGUAGCAAUACUUAGUGGCAGACGGGUGAGUAACAUGUAGGUAUCUGCCCUUUGGCCUGGAAUAACACGAGGAAACUUGUGCUAAUACCGGAUAAGUCUUUACGGAGAAAGCUUUAUGCACCAUUGGAUGAGCCUGCACUUGAUUAGUUUGUUGGUGGGGUAAUGGCCUACCAAGACUGUGAUCAAUAGCUGAUUUGAGAGGAUGAUCAGCCACAUUGGGACUGAGACACGGCCCAAACUCCUACGGGAGGCAGCAGUGGGGAAUCUUGCACAAUGGAGGAAACUCUGAUGCAGCGAUGCCGCGUGAGUGAAGAAGGCCCUUGGGUUGUAAAGCUCUUUCGUCGGGGAAGAAAAUGACUGUACCCGAAUAAGAAGGUCCGGCUAACUUCGUGCCAGCAGCCGCGGUAAUACGAAGGGACCUAGCGUAGUUCGGAAUUACUGGGCUUAAAGAGUUCGUAGGUGGUUGAAAAAGUUGGUGGUGAAAUCCCAGAGCUUAACUCUGGAACUGCCAUCAAAACUUUUCAGCUAGAGUAUGAUAGAGGAAAGCAGAAUUUCUAGUGUAGAGGUGAAAUUCGUAGAUAUUAGAAAGAAUACCAAUUGCGAAGGCAGCUUUCUGGAUCAUUACUGACACUGAGGAACGAAAGCAUGGGUAGCGAAGAGGAUUAGAUACCCUCGUAGUCCAUGCCGUAAACGAUGUGUGUUAGACGUUGGAAAUUUAUUUUCAGUGUCGCAGCGAAAGCGAUAAACACACCGCCUGGGGAGUACGACCGCAAGGUUAAAACUCAAAUGAAUUGACGGGGACCCGCACAAGUAGUGGAGCAUGUGGUUUAAUUCGAAGAUACGCGCAGAACCUUACCAACACUUGACAUGUUCGUCGCGACUUUAAGAGAUUAAAGUUUUCGGUUCGGCCGGACGAAACACAGGUGCUGCAUGGCUGUCGUCAGCUCGUGUCGUGAGAUGUUGGGUUAAGUCCCGCAACGAGCGCAACCCUCACUUUUAGUUGCCAUCAUUAAGUUGGGCACUCUGAAAGAACUGCCAGUGAUAAGCUGGAGGAAGGUGGGGAUGACGUCAAGUCCUCAUGGCCCUUACGUGUUGGGCUACACACGUGCUACAAUGGUAUCUACAACAGGAAGCAAGACUGCGAAGUUAAGCAAAUCCUUAAAAGAUACCUCAGUUCGGAUUGCACUCUGCAACUCGAGUGCAUGAAGCUGGAAUUACUAGUAAUCGUGGAUCAGCGUGCCACGGUGAAUGCGUUCCCGGGUCUUGUACACACCGCCCGUCACACCAUGGGAGUUGGUUCUACCUUAAGGCAAGGUUUCAAACCCUUGACCACGGUAUAGUCAGCGACUGGGGUGAAGUCGUAACAAGGUAACC